UGCCACUGGUUCCUUGCAGCUGUGACUCCCCAGGGUAAGAGGCAAAGAGCCACCAGGUCCCAGCUGAGGAAGCCCUGUGGUCAGCUCAGACAGGGAUGCGGACUGAAGCCGAAGCAGGUGUUAGUAACUGUCGUACCUACAGACGAGGAAACUGAGCCUCCAUGAAGUGAAGUGACUCACCCACAGUCACACAGCUAAUAUAUGCCAGAGCCCACAGCAGAACCCAGACGUACUGAGGCCAAGUUCAGUGCCAGCAUAAAACAGGACCUGCUGAAAUGCCUAGCGCUUCAACAAGGUGAGCUCUUGUAGGCCAGGGGCCAAAUGACGGACAUCAUGUGCCACCAACACCACACAGACGAAGGCAG
rnacentral:lncRNA from 1 species